GUGGGGAAUAUUGGACAAUGGGCGAAAGCCUGAUCCAGCCAUGCCGCGUGUGUGAAGAAGGUCUUCGGAUUGUAAAGCACUUUAAGUUGGGAGGAAGGGCAGUAAGUUAAUACCUUGCUGUUUUGACGUUACCGACAGAAUAAGUACCGGCUAACUUCGUGCCAGCAGCCGCGGUAAUACGAAGGGUGCAAGCGUUAAUCGGAAUUACUGGGCGUAAAGCGCGCGUAGGUGGUUUUGUAAGUUGGAGGUGAAAUCCCCGGGCUCAACCUGGGAACUGCCUCCAAAACUGCAUGACUAGAGUACGGUAGAGGGUAGUGGAAUUUCCUGUGUAGCGGUGAAAUGCGUAGAUAUAGGAAGGAACACCAGUGGCGAAGGCGACUACCUGGACUGAUACUGACACUGAGGUGCGAAAGCGUGGGGAGCAAACAGGAUUAGAUACCCGAGUAGUCC
rnacentral:rRNA from 1 species